AUUGAACGCUGGCGGCAGGCCUAACACAUGCAAGUCGAGCGGAUGAAGGGAGCUUGCUCCUGGAUUCAGCGGCGGACGGGUGAGUAAUGCCUAGGAAUCUGCCUGGUAGUGGGGGAUAACGUCCGGAAACGGGCGCUAGUACCGCAUACGUCCUGAGGGAGAAAGUGGGGGAUCUUCGGACCUCACGCUAUCAGAUGAGCCUAGGUCGGAUUAGCUAGUUGGUGGGGUAAAGGCCUACCAAGGCGACGAUCCGUAACUGGUCUGAGAGGAUGAUCAGUCACACUGGAACUGAGACACGGUCCAGACUCCUACGGGAGGCAGCAGUGGGGAAUAUUGGACAAUGGGCGAAAGCCUGAUCCAGCCAUGCCGCGUGUGUGAAGAAGGUCUUCGGAUUGUAAAGCACUUUAAGUUGGGAGGAAGGGCAGUAAGUUAAUACCUUGCUGUUUUGACGUUACCAACGGAAUAAGCACCGGCUAACUUCGUG
rnacentral:rRNA from 1 species